GUCAUUUGCAGCAACAUGGAUGGAACUGAAGGUCAAUAUGGAGUGAUCUAUGCAGGAGAAACAGCUUGGGAAAUGCUGAAAUUUCUGACUGUAAGAAAUGCUUGGAUAUAUGUAUCUGUUUGUUUGGAUAAUUUACUCAUGUGAUCUCUUGGAACCAAGGAUCCUUGGAUCCAAGGAACUCUGAUUUCUAGGAAUACUUUGUAAACAAAUCAAUAUACAAAUAGGUGAAUAAUCUGAAUUUUCCAGCCCAGUGAUUUUUGAAAGGAGGCAUCCAAACCAAAAGAGCCCCAGAUCAGAUUUUUACCCAACUAAGUGGUCAGUGUUUGUUUAUGACAGUGAACCCCCUCUGACAGCUUCAUCACCUCUAACAAACAAACAAACAAGGGAGACAGAGUGGAUGAACAACUUAUUUUCAAAGCUAACAAACAUUCUAUGACUUAACUGCUUGAAAACUAACUUGUUGCAGAAAGGUGAAAUGCUUUAUUCUCACAGAAAACUCCACUUCUGGAGUUGCCCCUCAAUAUGAAGAAACCGGAAGUAAAAGCCUGUCAUUCUUAAAUAACAUUUAUUAUUGUUGCAAAGAAGUCUUCUCCAUGAGAACAGUUCUCACAUUUAUUUAAAGAUAUAGAGGUUAUGGAUAUAGAUAAGUAUGCCCGACUAUGAUCCUUAAUUCAGCAAUCUAAUAUUCACAAUGUGUUUGUUGCCAUUUAGCUAUUUAUCCCAACAUGCCCUUAAAAAAAACACCAAAAAACCACAUGUGCCUAGACAGGGUGGAAAAAGAAACACCAAGGCCUUGCUAAAAAGGAGAAGC
rnacentral:lncRNA from 1 species